rnacentral:lncRNA from 1 species
CUUAAAAGUGGAAGAUUCCCUGCACUCACCCUCUCUCCUGCCGCUGUGAAAGAAGGUGCUUUCCUCUCCUUCGCCUUCCACCAUGAUUGACCUAAAGAACAAACUAUAAAAUACUGAAACACACCAUGCAAAUAUACGCACAUUACUCUGCUAAAUAUCGGAACCAAAGUAAUCUAUUUAGAGAAAAGGGGUGAGAGGUGGCCUUUUUACUAAUCUCCAAGAGUGCUUGUGAAUUAAUUCAAACCUGGUAAAAUCUUUCACUUGAAGGAAUCAAGGUUGUUAUGUUACGGGACCCUCCGUUAAAGAAACAGAGGCUUUGAAGUGGAGGUUUAUUCAUCCUUCCCCGGAUGGACUGGAAAAUUGGCAGUGCCCAGGUUCAUCACAGGACAGAUACUCAGGACAUGCUGAUCUCGGAGAGUUGAAGGAACAAAAAAA